CCUACGGGUGGCAGCAGUGGGGAAUAUUGGACAAUGGGGGCAACCCUGAUCCAGCCAUGCCGCGUGUGUGAAGAAGGCCCUCGGGUUGUAAAGCACUUUCAGUGAGGAAGAACGCCUGGUGGUUAAUACCCAUCAGGAAAGACAUCACUCACAGAAGAAGCACCGGCUAACUCCGUGCCAGCAGCCGCGGUAAUACGGAGGGUGCGAGCGUUAAUCGGAAUUACUGGGCGUAAAGCGCGCGUAGGUGGCUUGAUAAGCCGGUUGUGAAAGCCCCGGGCUCAACCUGGGAACGGCAUCCGGAACUGUCAAGCUAGAGUGCAGGAGAGGAAGGUAGAAUUCCCGGUGUAGAGGUGAAAUGCGUAGAGAUCGGGAGGAAUCCCAGUGGCGAAGGCGGCCUUCUGGACUGACACUGACACUGAGGUGCGAAAGCGUGGGUAGCAAACAGGAUUAGAUACCCUUGCAGUC
rnacentral:rRNA from 1 species